AGGGGAGUAGCUCAGAUGGCAGAGCAUUGGUCUCCAAAACCAAAGGUCGCAGGUUCGAUCCCUGUCUCCCCUGCCA
rnacentral:tRNA from 1 species